GCAAGUCAGAACCACAACUCUAACUGCUGGGUAACUGCUGGAUAACGUCCAGCCAACUGAAAUAUCCUCAUUAAAGGAACCAAUUGUAGUCAGUAGAAAUUGUUACUCUCCCUGAUUAACACACAGCUUGCAUCAGACUGGCCUUUGGGCAAAUCCCCUCCCCUAAGGUUUCCGUCUCAGAGAAGUAUGCGCAUUUGGUUUUUAACUCAUCGCCCUCGGCAGAAGUAGUUCAGAAUACAUCAGACGUUGUUUUGAGACUGCACUGCAACACUGCUGGAGCUACGUUUCUUUCAAGAUAACAAAUACUGCUUCCCUGAGAACAGCUAAUAAAAACAACCCUAGAAAACAAACAAGAAAUUAU